AUUGAACGCUGGCGGCAGGCCUAACACAUGCAAGUCGAGCGGACGAAGGGAGCUUGCUCCUGGCUUCAGUGGCGGACGGGUGAGUAAUGCCUAGGAAUCUGCCUGGUAGUGGGGGAUAACGUCCGGUAACGGGCCCUAAUACCGCAUACGUUCUGAGGGUGAAAGUGGGGGUUCUUCGGAGCUCAAGCUAUUAGCUGUGCCUUGGUCGUGUUAGCUAGUUGGUGAGGUAAAGGCCUACCAAGGCGACGUUCCAUAGCUGGUCUGAGAGGCUGAUCAGUCACACUGGAACUGAGACACGGUCCAGACUCCUACGGGAGGCAGCAGUGGGGAAUAUUGGACAAUGGGCGAAAGCCUGAUCCAGCCAUGCCGCGUGUGUGAAGAAGGUCUUCGGAUUGUAAAGCACUUUAAGUUGGGAGGAAGAGCAGUAAGAUAAAACCUGGCUGUUUUGACGUUACCAACAGAGUAAGCACCGGCUAACUACGUA
rnacentral:rRNA from 1 species